AGUAAAUAGAUACCCCGGUAGUCCACGCCCUAAACGAUGCAUAUUUGGUGUGGGCAGUUCAUUCUGUCCGUGCCGGAGCUAAACGCGUUAAAUAUGCCGCCUGGGGAGUACAGUCGCAAGGCUGAAACUCAAAGGAAUUGCCGGGGGCCCGCACAAGCGGUGGAGCAUGUGGUUCAAUUCGACGCAACGCGAAGAACCUUACCUGGGCUCGAACGGCCGGUCAACGGCGGUGGAAACAUCGCUACCCCGCAAGGGGGUCCGGUCGAGGUGCUGCAUGGCUGUCGUCAGCUCGUGUCGUGAGAUGUUGGGUUAAGUCCCGCAACGAGCGCAACCCUUGUCCUGUGUUGCCAUCAUUUAGUUGGGAACUCGCAGGAGACCGCCAGGGAUAACCUGGAGGAAGGUGGGGAUGACGUCAAGUCCUCAUGGCCUUUAUGUCCAGGGCUACACACGUGCUACAAUGGCCGGUACAAAGCGUCGCAAACUCGCGAGAGGGAGCCAAUCGCAAAAAAACCGGUCUCAGUUCGGAUUGCAGGCUGCAACUC
rnacentral:rRNA from 1 species